rnacentral:rRNA from 1 species
GGAUUAGAUACCCUGGUAGUCCUAGCUGUAAACGAUGGAUACUAGACGUAGGAAUUGGAUUAACGAUUUCUGUGUCGUAGCUAACGCGUUAAGUAUCCCGCCUGGGGAGUACGGUCGCAAGACUAAAACUCAAAUGAAUUGACGGGGACCCGCACAAGCGGUGGAGCAUGUGGUUUAAUUCGAUGCAACGCGAAAAACCUUACCUACUCUUGACAUACUUGGAAGCUCUUGUAAUGAGAGUGUGCCUUUUGGAGCCAAGAUACAGGUGCUGCAUGGCUGUCGUCAGCUCGUGCUG